UGGGGAAUCUUCCGCAAUGGACGAAAGUCUGACGGAGCAACGCCGCGUGAGUGAAGACGGCCUUCGGGUUGUAAAGCUCUGUUAUUCGGGAAGAACGAUUCGUUUGUGAACAAUGAACGGAAGUGACGGUACCGAAAGAGAAAGCCACGGCUAACUACGUGCCAGCAGCCGCGGUAAUACGUAGGUGGCAAGCGUUGUCCGGAAUUAUUGGGCGUAAAGAGCGCGUAGGCGGUAUGGUAAGUCUGUCUUAGAAGUGCGGGGCUUAACCCCGUGAGUGGACAGAGACUGUCAUACUGGAGUCUCGGAGAGGAAAGCGGAAUUCCUAGUGUAGCGGUGAAAUGCGUAGAGAUUAGGAAGAACACCGGUGGCGAAGGCGGCUUUCUGGACGAGCACUGACGCUGAGGCGCGAAAGCGUGGGGAGCGAACAGG
rnacentral:rRNA from 1 species